UACAGAGGGGGCAAGCGUUAUUCGGAAUUAUUGGGCGUAAAGGGCGCGUAGGCGGCCUGGCAAGUGGAAGGUGACAUCCCUCGGCUUAACCGAGGAACUGCCUCCCAAACUGCUUGGCUUGAGACCAGGAGAGGUGAGUGGAAUUCCCAGUGUAGCGGUGAAAUGCGUAGAUAUUGGGAGGAACACCAGUGGCGAAGGCGGCUCACUGGACUGGUACUGACGCUGAGGCGCGAAAGCGUGGGGAGCAAACGGG
rnacentral:rRNA from 1 species